rnacentral:lncRNA from 1 species
GUUCUUGCUAUUUUUCUUAUGCAAAAUGAAAGGUUUGAUGUGUUUCCAGAAACAUAUGAAUGCUGGAAUAUAGGAAAUAUGCCACAUUUGAGAAAUGGUUUCUACUUGGUACAAUGAGCUGAGCCGCUCUGUAUAGAUUAUUUGAACUAAAAACUCAGAGGGGAUUAUAACUGUCCAAUGAGCUGAGCCACUCUGUAUAGAUUUCUUGUUGGAUGAGUUCAACACAAUCAUCAUUGUCAAAAUCCAUUCUCUUGUGCAUUUUCAAAAAAUCCACAUCCUUAAUUAAUGCUGUAUCUGACAACAUGGACCUAACAUCCUUACUGUUAGGUCUCUCCUCUGGAUCAUCCAAAGUGCAAAAACAAGCAAUCUUCAAAACAAGAAGCAUUUGCUCCUCAUACCCAUUGCCGAGGAGCUUCGAAUCGAUAGCCCGGUUAGGGUUCUCAGAAGUCAUGACAUUUCUCAUCCAUCGAACCAAACUCUUCUCUUCUGUAUGUUGGAAAAAAUCAUCGGAUGGUAAUUUUCUCAUCACUAAAACAGCUAGCAACACCCCAAAGCUGUAUAUAUCACACUUUUCUGAAAAUUUUAGCGUCUCGUGAUACUCUGGGGCUAUGUAUCCCACCGUUCCCGCCACAAUCGAUGUUGUGACUUGUGCAUGUCCAUCAGGCAUUAGCCUUGCAAGACCAAAGUCAGCAAUCCUGGCUUCCAUAUCAUCGUCCAUAAGCACGUUCGAUGGCGUGAUAUCUCUAUGGAUUAUACGAGGCCUAUGGUACAUAUGCAGAUACUCAAGGCCUGAAACUAUUCCUCUUGCAAUCCUGUGUCUAGCUAGCCACUCUAAUUCUCUUCUUCCUUGUGAGACAUCAUUUAGAAUCUCUAGUAAACUUCCAUUCUUCAUGAAUUCCGAGACAAGUAAAUGGCAGUCAGGCCGGACCAUAUGAGCCAGCAAAGGAACAAUAUUCCUAUGCCUAAUUUGACCUGCAGUCAUAAUCUCAGCCCGAACUUGCCUCAUUUUUAUGUUCAGUAGCCAAUUAUCUACUUGUUUAACCUUCUUAAUAGCAAUCAUCUUUCCAUUGCUUUCCGGUAGCUCGGCUAUGUAAAUUUCUCCACACCCACAUGAUCCUAUUUUCUCCAAAGAAGCAGAGCAAUCCUCUUUCUCCAAAAAAGCCAAGUCCUCUUUCUCGAUUAAGGGACUAAAGAUUGUAGGACCACGAUUUUGACCUCCGCCUCUUACUGCGGCUAAGAGUAGCUUUCAAAACAAAAGAAAACACUUUGAAUUAGCAUUAGUAAUUAGUCUUUAUAUUUGUAGUAUAGGCGAUUCAGUAUCUAUUCUUCAUCAUUUUCUCUACCAUUUACAUUGGUGAAAAAUUGCUAAGGAGAUCGAGAUAUUGAUAAAAACAGUGACAAAUCAGUAUCUAAUGGCUUAAUUUUUUAAUUAAGCGAGCAAAUUGAUACCGAUUUAUCACUAUUUUUGUCAGUUUUCUGUAAAAAAUUUCUGUUUAAAUAUCAAUGCUUACAAGAUAGCUUCACUCACCGAAGGGGUCGUGGGAAAUCUUUGCCUGACAUUCUUAGACUUCCCACCGGAACUUGCUUUCAAACCUAGUACGUUUAUUUGCCAUGCAAUGUCUUGCAAUCUAGCAUUGACCUCCUUUACUUUAGACAUGGCCGUAGAAUCCUCGGACUUAUCCACGGCAUCAUCAACACCAUCUUGCAGCAGCAUCCUCUGGAAAGCUUCCGUUUGAAACUCAUCCAACAAGAAAUCAACAUCACAAGCCAAGUGCUGAAGUUUGCCUAGCCAUAUCUUCACUGACUCCUCCUUCGUCUGCUUCUCGAUCGCAUCAUCUAGCACCUUAUUAAUCUUCGCCAUCAUCUUCUUCCACCCAAUCAGAUCAGCCUGGAUCUGCGCAUCUCGAGCAAACUGCCCAAGCCAAUCUUUAGUCAACUUUUUUAGUAUCGUCUCAAUAUUUUCCGAAUAAAAGUUAGAGACGGUUUCUCUUUUGCUGCCAAAACGAAAGGAAUUACCGAGAGUGAACUUUGGCAUCUUUUUCUCGGUCGAUCGAUCGAUCGGUGUGGUGGCUGCUUCUUCCUUAUUUAAAUGCAGGGAAUUAACAAACAAGUAAUUGUGAUUGACUAAAAUACACUUGCCUGGAACUCUUUAAAAUUUUAUAGACUUUCUCAAUUAUGCGUUAGAAAAUGCUUAUAGAAGGAACUGCCAAUAAUUGGGCUGUUAUUGCUAAUUUUCUUAUGCAAAAUGAACGGCUUGAUAUAGAAAAUAUGCCACAUUAACAAAAAGAGAAGACUUGACUGACUUAGAUGGGGGUAUGUUGCGCAAAAUGCGCGUGGAAGUCCACACGGGAAAGUGAGGAAUUAACUCAACACGGUUACGUCAUUUGUCUUUUAUUGAAUUUGAAUUGACUUGCUAUAAGCAAUUUCUGCCAAGCUGGAGUACUGAAGCUUCGGUGUGGGUUCAACUGAAUAUACCCCUAAAAGAAAAGGGUGGGGGCGUGGGGCAUUUAGACCCACUAAAUUAUCCACCAAAUUUAAUUUUUUAAUUAUUAAAAUAUCCCUCAAAAUAAUUAUUAUAGAUACUAGAAUGUAGAUAAAUGAGUUUCUAUUUUUUUUUUUUUUUGGUACUCAUUCAACUUUAAUUUAUUUCCUUGAAAUUGUAAAUUCAUAUUCUUUAUUCAAAUUAACCUUACACAUAAAAAUGAUAAAUACUUGUUUUAUCAAGGAAGGAGGAAGUGUUUGAAAGAGUUCAAUGACAAAAAUUUAUGUAUUUCUUCUAUUCUAUUUUUUGAAGUGUUUCUUUAUUUAAAAUUUGAUUAUUUAUUAUUUUUUUCAGUUGCUGGUCGAACCAUAUGCUUACCGGAAAGGUUGUGAACCUAUUAUGUUUAUUGGGAAAUAAAAUAUCGAACAAAAUUAGAUCAUAUAAUUCAAGAAAUUGAACAUUUUCAUCAUUGAUUUUUACACAGUGACCUGGAUGAAGAAGAUAAAGAAGCAAAUUCAAAAAUAAAAUCGAUUAUUGUUGAUUUUAUUUUGUUAAAAAUUCUUCACAUGCUACAAUAACAAUAAACAAAAAGCAGCCAGGAAUCAGCUUCUUGUGGUCAAUGACUCGUGACAAUAUAUAAAACUUACUUUGCUCUGUCUAUAGCUCGUCUGUCAUCGAGAUGACAAAUAAUAUAUGACAGCCUCUCCUCCCCGUCAAGUCUUUUUUUAUUUAGAAAAGAAAUUCACUUAAAAAAUUAAAUAAGUCAACAAGUGUUCAGCAUUAUACAUCGUAUGUGGUCAUUUCAUUGGAAGUUAGAACCUAGAAAUCAUAUCUUUUAAAAAAGGUUCGUAAUGGGUGCGAUGGUAAGUUACUACGUGACAAUUAAUAUUAUAUAUAUAUAUAUAUAUCCAAAUUUAAUAACCCAAAGACUGAAGCUAUUGGUGACCUUCAUUAUUCUUAUAAAAUUCCACUUUAAAUAAAAUUAUAUUUAAAAAUAAAUAAGAAUUAAAAACGUUUGAGAAUUUUUCUAACAAAUUAUUUGUAUUCAUUAUCAGUUCAUUUUUUUUUUGUUUUCUACUCAUCACUUCUAUGUAAUUAAAAUAAAUUACAAAAAAUUAGAGGAUGACAGGGCUUUGUAAGAUGUGAUUAGGGUUGGGAGAAUUAUAAAUUAAUUUAUUUUAUAUUUUAUAUUUUCUACUCAUUUAUUGCAUGAUAAAUCCAUAAUUAUUAUUAUAUAAUAUUAUUCUACUAUGAUAUAUGAUAUAUCAAUUAACUCAAGUGAAUAUUAGGAUCCCUAAAAUUAAGUAUUUAUUAAAUUAUUAGUAAAGACUUUGAAUUAUAUUAUAAAUAAUAUAAAAACAAUACUAUAUUUGAAAUCAAUAUUGUCGAUGCUGAAAUAUGAUCGUGUUGAGCAAUAACUAGACGCCAACAUCAAUACUUAAAAUUUAUAAUAGUGGGAUAGAUGAUCUUGAAUAUAAACUUUCUACUCAGUUGAGCAAACACAAGUGAUCACGAGUACUUCCUGGAAAAAUAAAUGUGUUCAAAAUAAACGAUUAGGGGAAAGUUGGGAAUUUUUUCGGUGUUAAACCCUUUGAUACUUAAGUCAGUUCUUUGGGUUUCAUGGAUUAAUAUGUAUUAAGUUAUUGAGCAUUGAUUAUAACUAGUGUAAUUGAAAGGCUUUAAAAAUGAAAGGAAGAAAGAAAGAAUGAACUCCCAAUGCUAUUUUCUCAAAAAGAGUUUUGAAGUAGCGAGAGAAAAGAUCACUUACUUGGUUCAAAAUUUUGGAAGCUUUUAUAAAUAUUAACCGUUGAGAGGAUAGAGCUCAAACCCUGAUUUUUUGGAGAAAAUUUGCGAGUUGACUCUGAUCAAGUCAAUUCUUCAGGUUGACUUUGAUGAAUAUCUGCUCGCGGAAUCCCUGCUUGCACCUUCCUCCACCAAUUGUCUGUCCAAAUCUUCAUAACUUAAGAAAAUCUUCCAGUGAGCACGAGCUAGACUUACUUCGAGGAGAUUUCCUGCUGCUUUUCCUUGUUUAACACCGAGAGGAGCCCAGUUUUUGUGGACGAAACAUUUAAUUGUGCUCCCUCUUUUCAUUCACAAAACAAAUACAUUAUUAUUGAUUUAUAGCAUCAUUAGAUUGCUGAUUUACAAAAAAUUUAGAAACGCGGUAUGAAAGGUUUACAAAAGGCGCCGGCUUACAUGACUUCCAGUUCAAUAUAAUGCGAAGCUUGUUUUCAAUCUGUAUAUUUUUAUAAUUUUCUAUGUCUCUGUAGAUUCUUUUCCUUAUAUUUUGAAGGAAAGCGAUAUAUUUUCCUAGGCCAAUCAUUAGCAGAGUAAAUACUAAAGUACUUGUGGUUUGUUUGAAAUUCCAAAAACUAAUAAUUUGCACAAUCAAUUAAGUUUUACACAGAUCAUAUAUGAAUAUAGAAUAACUCGUUAAUGAGGAUAUCUUCAUUUUAACAAAAUAGAAAUGUUACUAAUAAAUAAAUAAAUAAAACACAUAUAUAUUCUCGUUAAGGGCUUACAAAUUCAUCAUGUACAUAUAUAGAUUCUCAUUAUUACCAAAGUUAUAUGUAUGUAUGUAUAUAUAGUCAGGGAUCUUAAAGUAAGGGAAAAAUCCAGGAAAUCUUUAAAAUCACGGGACUUUAAAGACUUAAAACUUAAAGGGCUUAAACUGCACAGUUUAUGCAUUUUUCUGGACGUUUCUGCAUUUUAAAAUUUCGGAUUAGAAUAUUUCUAAUAUAAAUAUAUAUAUAAUCAUUCCCAGGUGCGGAUGUCUAUAUUUUUUUUAAUGCGGACACACUUUUAAACUGUGCGGUUUAAAAUAGUUAGUUUUUUAAUGAACUAUAAAACCGUGUGGUUUAAGACAGUUAAAAACUAACUCUCUUUUUUCCUUUUUAAAUUUUAAUUUAUUAUUCUAAUUUAUAAAUUUAUUUUUUAAAAAAUAAAGGGUUGGACUUGGCCUGAGUUUUUUUUUUCUUAAGCCCUCAUGUGGAGGACUAGGCUAAAAGCCCGCAGCUUAAGGCAGUCGGGAUAGGUUUGGGUUGGCCCAGGCUUUUUUGCCUACCCUAGAUCAAUAAAGCUUUUGUCCAAGAGCGGUUUAAACUAGUCAAAAUGAUUGAAAAUUACUCUUAUAAGCUUAUUUUAUUGUAUCAACUAGUGAAGCGAUUCACUUGUGGAUCCUUGACUUAAACUAGCUUUAACUAAUUAGAAAAUCAUAUUUACAUUGAGUCAAAUCCUGACUUUAACUUUUUUUUAAAAAAAAAACCACUUGUGGCGGUUCGAUCAAACUCUUACUUAUUAUAUAAAUCAUAUAAUGAAGAAAAUAUAAGGAGUGGGGACAAAAACUAAAAUCUCCUAAUAGAAGUAAAAGUACAAGCAAUCUACCAAAAAUUUCAAAAACAAGUAAAUAAAGCGAAAUCAAUGCCGAAUGUGUGGGAUCUUGAGAAUAUCCAAAUGAAAAAUAACAAAUGAACUAAAAGGUCUCUUAAACGGAAAAAAGAAAAAAAGGAGGGGGUGUGGGUGAGACUUAAAAGACUCCUGAGAAAUAACAUACUACAGCCACAGCCCCGACAACUCCUAAAGCAACAUUGUAGCCACAUCCACCACAAUUCACAAAGUUAUAACUAGAAACACUUUUGUUGGGUAAACAUUUCAUCACGAUUACGGAAAAACAUCCCAAACUUGGGCUCCUCAAUUCUUUAUCUGCAUAUUUUCACUGUUAUCGAAUUCAGUCUCCUCUAGUUCCUCAAUAUUCUCUUCAAAAUUAGUCUCCUGUAAUUCAUCAUAUUCUUCAACUUCAUCGACUUUGUCCUAAAUUCUCUAUUCCCACACCAAAAUUAUAAAAAGAAAUUUCUUAUAAUAUGUAUCUCGAUCUCAUACUCUAGGCCUCAAUCUCAUCACCCAUAGCUCGGCCGCUUGCUCAUAGGCCUCAGAUCUUGCCAUUGGGCCUCAAUCUCAUAGUACUAAACUCAGCCUCAUACACUUGGAAGAACUACACUACCUGAGUUCAGCUAUUUUUUCGGCCUUAAUUGUAGCAUGAGUUCAAUUAUUUUUUGCUCUUGCCAUGGCCCAAGUUCAAUUAUUUUGGUCCUUACUGCGGCCUGAGUCUAGUUAUUAUGGCCAUUGUCGCGGCCUUAUUUUACUGUCCAUAUUGCGAAAUCAUCUUACUUUAAUAGCCCUUGUCGCAGUCUUAUCUUAAUUUUAUGGAGCCGCCUAUGUUGCAACAAUUGCAACAUACCACUACUUUUGUUAUUUUGUAAUUUAACCAUUGGAUCUAAGGCAAGAAUGGUAAAAGCAAAUCCAACGGCAUGAUGUACUUAUUUUGGUUUUUUUUCAUUACAAUCCCUCUUCUUUUCUGAAAUGCUAGGAAAAAAAAUAUAAUAAUAAUUAUUUUAUUUAUUGGCUUAGUUGUUAAAUGAUAUAAAUAAGGAAGUAGGAAAUUUAAGAGGACUUUUAUUAUUGAUAUUAGGCAAUUACAAUGCAUAAUUUAAUACUCGUUUAUAAGAGCCACAACUCAUUAAAUAUAAAAUAAAGCUUAUGUUUGCGUUCUAACUUCAGAAAGAUAAAUACGUUUAUUUAUUCCACAAAUUCUAUAAUAUUAUUUAAAUAUAUUUAAUGUUUCAAUUAAGACAAAAGUUAGCACAUUGUAGUGAAUUAUAUAAUUGACCACAAUCUAACUUUUAAAACUUCCAAAUCUGCGUAAGUAAUAAAUUAAUGUGAACAAUAUUAUAACAAUAUACAAUAUUAUGUUCUAAACAUAUUUUAAUGGUGCGUUUAUUAAAUAAGAAUCGAAAUGAGCUAAAUUUGUUAUAAGGAAUUUGAAGUAGAAUAAGUUAUUUACUUGAGUUAUAGGAAUCGGAAUCAGAAUCGGAAUGAACAACAUUCUCAUUGAUGUAUUUACUUUAUUUUAUAAUUGGAAUAGACUAGUAUAAGUUAUUAAAAUGCCCUUUGUUAAUUGUGUCCCUAAUAUUAUUUGUAUAUAUUAUAAUUAAAACAAUAAUAAUAAUGAUAAUAAUAAUUAUUAUUAAUAAGUUUUAAUAAUAAUAUUAUUAAUAAAAAUAAUAACAACAUUAAUUAAUAAUAAUGAAAAUAAAAAAGUUAAUAUAUUUUAAUAAUAACAUUAAUUUUAAUCAUAACAAGAUAAAUAUUAAUAAUAAUGAAUUAAUUACAGUAUAAUAGCAAUUAAAAUAAUAAAAGUAAUAAAUUUUAAUAAUAAUAAUAAUGACAAUAAUAAUCAUAAAUAAUAAUAAUUAAAAUAAUAAAAUUUAAUAGCAAUAAUCUUAUAUAAUAAUAAUGAUAUUAAUAAUAAUAAUAAUAAAAAAAUUAAAAUUCUUUUCAAAUGUCAUUUUAUUCCAAAAAUGAACUUAUAUGUAAAAGUUUGUAACUUUUAGUGGCUAUUAAAUUUUGUAGACAAUAUAAGGUAGUGUAGUGUAAUCAAACACAAAAAGACAAAAAAUUGUUGUAUAUUGCAACUGUUGCAACAUAGGCGGACCCUAAUUUUAUUACCCAUAUUGCAGCAUUAUCUUACUUUAAUGGCCCUUGACGAGACAUUAUCUUAAUUUCAUGGCCUAUAUCAUGACAUUUUAGAUCUCCUCAUGUCAUUUGAGUUAUCUUCACGAUAUUUGAGAUUUUCACAUGUCGUUUAUAUUGUCUUCAUACUAUUCAAGUUGUUUUCAUGACAUUCGAGAUUUCUCAUGUCAUUUGUUUUCUUCUCACGUCAUUGAAGAUUCGCUCAUGACACUCGAUAUGUCCUCACAACAUUCAAUGAGUGAUAAUAAAAAAAUUUAACAUACUAUAAACUAUAUCAAUUUCUAGCAUUCACUCGUAAACUUGUGAAUAUUAUAAACUGAGGGCUCUUGUUAUGCCCAUAUUCUUACCAAACUCAAGUCUUAGGACCCACAUCUAAUAAUAUGUCCUAAUAUAAAUAGGAUAAAGUAAUACAAGUUCUAAUCCUUAUCAAACUCGUAAUUUACAAGAUAAUAGAUAAGAUUUCCUAACUCAAUUAUACUUCUGAUUAUUUCUUUUAUAUGCAGAGGUGACUACUUAAAGAUAUACAAUACAACAUGAAUAAAUGCAUGAGAAAUAAGCAUAUUGGAGGAGGGGUACAAAUCCUUCAAGGGUUUUCUUUUUCCUUCAAGGGUUUUCACUUACUCUCUUUUCUUUCUUUUAUUAUUUAUUUGUUAUCGUGCUGCUCUCAGUCUUUGACUUAAGCAUUGAUGCAUCUAUGCCAGUAACACCCUUGGCAACCCUUGAUGGGUUAUUGUUUUGCGAGAUUCUGACCACCGAACCCUUCACUCUCAAUGAUAGCAAUACCAAGAACAUCAAGCUCUUUCACAGCCUGGUUCCAAGUAAAUUUUUUUUUUAACUCUCAUCGUUGAGCCCCACACAUACACGCACGCACAAACGCCCAUGCACAUACGCGCAUGCGUGCACUCGCGCACACACGGACAGAGGCAAGGUUCUCAAUAAAAUCAAAUGGGCACGGUGCACUGAAAAGGGACUGUGUACGUCAAAUAGUUGGUCAAUGAAGAUCAAAGGAUGUACUCCAUAUAAUUACAGUCCCACACAAUUAAUUAUAUUUUUAACUGGCGGUGGGUUCAUGCUGUUCUAUUACGUCGUUCUCUGCUCCUAAUUCAUCAAGCUCAAUGCACAUUUGCAUGACUUAUAUCCUGAUAUUAAAAUAAUAAAAUAUGGUGGAAUUUUGUGGUUCAUUGUGUCGCUUUCUCAGAGUAAAGCACACUACUAAAUUUUUAAUGCUAUUGAGGACUUUCAAGCAAUUGGUAUAUAUGGGAUUUUUUUAAACUAAAUAUUUGAAAAUGACUUUGGUUACCCCCCGAGCCUAGUUAUUGAUAUUGAGGCUGCCAUAAGACACUAUCAGUUGUUACAAUAUUGAUUAAUUUAGUCAUUUUUUAGUGAAGAAGAGAGAAUAAGAUGAUAAAACAAAAUUGAGUUGCGUUAAUGUUAAAAUACAUAUCUUUUUUUUUACAAGGAAAAAUAUUGAAGUUUGUAGAGACUAUACUUAUUUUUUUUAUUAUAUAAUUUUAAAAAUUUUGUUUAACCGAUAGAAAGCAGGUAAAAUAAAUUUUAAAUAAUUAAAAUCAAAACAUUAUCAUAACUGACUACUAAUUAUGUGAAUUGUUGGUUAAAAUCAAAACAUUAUCAUAAUAACAUUAACUAACUACUAAUUUUUCCAAGCCUAAUUAUUGCAGAUAAAUAGUAAAUUGCUUGUCGUUUGUUUAAAAUCCCAACAACUAAUAAUUUGCACAAUCAGCUAAGUUUUACACAAAUUGACUCUUUAUAUAUAUACAUCCGUAUCUAAAAGUCUAAUUUGUGCAAGGGAUCACGGAUCCAUUCCGUACGUAUAUAUAUAUAUUCUCGUUAUUACUUAAGUCAAGGUUAAGAUAAGGGAAGUAGAGGAAAAUCAGACGCACAAAGGUAAAUAAAGAGAUUGAAAGCCAUAAAAAUGUAAAAUAAUAAAAAGAUUUCACAAAACCAUAGAAGAAAGAGAGUUACAACUUGUUCUCCAUUAAUUAGUGUAUUUACUUUGUGCUAGACAUUCUAACAUAUCAGUCUUAAUUUGAAUUUUAAGUGAUGUGGUAUUCAUUUAUUAGAUGCUAUUUUAGUAAGUUUAUAAGUUAUGAAAUAAAUCAUUUAAUAAAUGAAUGACACAUAAUAAUAGGACUCAAAUCUGAGACUUAAAUGUUAGAAUUUCUAAUAUUAUUGUAUCAAUAAGGUAAAAUAAGGGCAAAGUAGUUUAUUAAUCUAGCUAGUUUUUACUCAAUUUUUUUUUUUAAACUAUCAAAGCCUAUCAACAACUCGAUUUCUUGUAGACUCAUAUGUGAACAGAUUUGAACCUCAAUACAUUAAAAAAAAAUAUAUAUAAAACUGGUGUCCGGUGGUGGGUUCAUGCUGUUCUAUUAUGUUGUUCUCUAUUUCUAAUUAAUCAAGCAAAACACAUAUUUGUAUGACCUAUGUUGUAGUACUAUAAUGAUCCUGAUUUUAAAAUCAUUAAAUAUGGUGGAGUUUUAUGGUUCAUUUGUGCCGCUUUCUCAAGAGUAAAGCGCAUCACUAAAUUUUUACUGCUAUUGAGGACUUCCAAACAAUUGGUGUAAGCGGGAAUAUUUUUACUUUUUUCUAAAUAUUUGGAAAUGACUUCGGUUUUCCACGAGAGCUUAGUCGUAAUAUUUAUUAAUUUAACAAAUUUUUUUUUUAGGUGAAGAAAAAAGAAUAAGAUGAUAAUAAAAUUGAGUUGUGUUAAUGUUAAAAUAAAUAUUAAAAAAAAGUUAUACCUUUUUUUAUUAUAUAAUCUUAAAAAAUGUGUUUAACCGGUGCAAUAACAGGUAAAACAGAUUCUAAAUAAUUAAAAUCACAACAUUAUCAUAACAAAUACUAAUUAUGUGAACAGUUAAUUAAAUUUUAUGUCACUAUUAAUACUGUAAUAUAAAUAAAUUAUAACAUCAUAUAAUGAGAUUUGGAUUGAAUGCUGAGGUGAUUUUUUUGGUAAUCUUUUAGAAAGAUAAAAUUAGUAAUUAUUAGAUAAGAAUAUAAAACUCCUAAAAUCAUUUAUAAGUACCGCACUGCCUUUGAGAUACUUUACUGCCUUUCGGUUUCUAGCCCCAUUUCCUCUUUUGAUCACUUAUCUUCGCUGAGAAUUUUAGCCUUUCAUAAUUGUCCUUUGAUUUACCUUUAUAGUUUGCGGGUUGAGGCGGCUUAAGUGUUCCCACUGAUAAUAUAUAUAUAUUUUCCUAUGAUUCUGAAAUUUAAAGACAUCUUGGACUAGCUUGCUGGUAAAUAAAUUUAAAAGAUCAAAAACGAACAUGAUUAGCUGCUGUUGAAGGAGCCUUUUUUGAGUUUUUUCUUAACCUACAUAAAGGAAAAGAUACGAGUAGCUCUAACUAACUUUUAGAAUCAAAUUGAACAGAAAUAAAAAUUUGAUUUUUUUGAGUGACCCGAUUGUGCGAUUUCUUUUCAUCAGAAUGAAUCCGCCAUUAAACGUAAUGAGUUAAAAAUAAAAGUAAAUGAAAUAAAGUUAAAAAAAAAGUAAACCAAAGAUUAUUUUAAAGUAUUAAAGUAAAGAAAAAAGUAUUAUAAAGUGGUCCCUCUUUGGUGGAAAAUGUAUUUAGUAUAAUAAAAAAGAAAAAAGUUAAAAUACAAAAUAGAAGCGACUCUUCAAAAUUACAAUGGCUAAAAUGCACUUGCAUGGAACUUUUCUCUUUCUCAUUUUUUUUUUUUUUUUUGGAAAGAUUCUCUUAAUGUGUGUUAGCAUAUGCUUAUAGAACGAACUACCAACAUCGAGCCGUUCUUGCUAUUUUUCUUAUGCAAAAUGAAAGGCUUGAUAUGUUUGCCAGAAACAUACGACUGCUGAAACAUAGCAAGUAUGCCACAUUUCAGAAAUGGUUUCUACUUUGUAUAAUGACCUGAACCACUCCGUAUCGAUUAGACAAGUGAAAACUCAGAGGGGAUCGUAAUUGUACAACUUAAUUAAAGAGCAUAAAUUGUUCAUCACAAGUGACGUUGUUAUGCUCUUGUACAUUUUCAAAAAAUCCAAAUCCUUAAUUAGUGCUGAAUCUGAGACAACAUGCACCUAACAUCCCUGCUGUUAGGUCUCUGCUUUGGAUCAUCCAUAGUGCAAAAGUAAGCAAUCUUCAAAACAAGAAGCAUUUGCUCCUCAUACCCAUUGCCGAGGAGCUUCGAAUCGAUAGCCCGGUUAGGAUUCGCAGAAUUCAUGACAUUUCUCAUCCAUUUAACCAAACUCAUCUCUUCGGUGUGUUGGAAAAAAUCAUCGGAUGGAA